rnacentral:rRNA from 1 species
GAUAAACGCUGGCGGCGUGCAUAACACAUGCAAGUCGAACGAUGAAGAUUAAAAUAUUUCUUCGGAAUGAGCUUAAUUGGUUUAGUGGCGGACGGGUUAGUAACGCGUGAGUAACCUGCCUUGUACAAGGGGAUAGCCGUUGGAAACGACGAAUAAUACCCUAUGACAUCAAAUAAUCGCAUGAUCAUUUGAUCAAAGAUUUAUCGGUAUAAGAUGGACUCGCGUCUGAUUAGCUAGUUGGGAGAGUAAAUGCCUACCAAGGCAAAGAUCAGUAGCCGGCUUGAGAGAGCGGACCGCCAUAUUGGGACUGGGACCAGGCCCAGAUACUGACGGGAGGCAGCAGUGGUGAACUUGGCACAAUGGGUGAAACCCUGAUGCCGUGAGGCUGCGUGAUUCAGAAGGCUUUCGGGUUGUAAAAAUCUUUUGUAUGUUAAUAAAAUGACAGUACCAUAAGAAUAAGGACCGGCUAAUUACGUG